UUCAGCCCCGGCGCAGCCGCAACACGCCGCCCGCCCGCCGGCCGGCCGGCCCGCCCCGCAGCCGGCACCCUGCCGCCCCCGGCUCGGGGCCUGGGCCCCCGCCGGAUUCGGCCUGCCUGGGGCGGGGGGCCCGGGCCCGGCCCAGCCAAACCGCCACCCCGAGGAUGCGCAGGCCGCACUAGGCCCCGGGCGUCCUGGCGGGCUCGAGAGGGAGGCGGCUGCCCUCCUGAGAGCCCCGGGGUUCCGGCCUCCUCUGCCGCCUCGGGUUCUCCGGGCCGCGGCCUUCUCCGCGCCGUGGAACCCCGGGCCUGGCCUUCCCCCACGGGCUCGGGAGCGGGCGGCCCGGGAGAGCGCGCCGGGCCCGGGAGCGGGAGCAACUUAUUGGAUUGUUCCUCACUCAAGGAAAGAGAAGAGCACAACUUUGGAGAUACUCUUUUAUAGUUGUAAGCCUUUUGGAACUUAAGAGAGUGCUGCUGCUGCUGCUCCUGAAUGUUAAUGUCAGGCUGUCAGCAAACCUACAAAGAACAAGAGGAAGUGAAGAAAUGUCUCUGUGAAACAUUGCUCACAGCGGUUAAACAGUGGACUAGAAGUGGGGAGCAGGAAACGCAGAGCUGAAUUCUAGUUGUAUGUUUAAAAGAGUGAGGCAUGCCCUCCAUCAAG